AUGGCAACCCACAUCAAUUCUCUUCUUUUUAUCUUUGCAAUUUUAUGCAUUGCUUCGACCAUGGUUACAGGCGGUUUAACAGGGAUAGGAAAAUGUGUUAUUAUGGGAGCAUGUCCAGAUGGAGCACAACAGUGUUACAAAUAUUGGAAGUCAAGGGGCUUCUCUAAAGGUGGCGAGUGUGUGAAAGAUACAAACUUUUGUUGUUACAUUACUUGA
rnacentral:lncRNA from 1 species